UACAGAGGGGGCAAGCGUUGUCCGGAUUUACUGGGCGUAACAGCGCGCGCAGGCGGCCGUGUAUGUGACCGGUGACAGUCGCGGGCUCAACCCGCGCCGGCCCGGUUACAGCAGCAUAGCUGGAGGCAGGGAGAGGGAUGUGGAAUACCCGGGUGGAGCGGUGAAAUGCGUAGAGAUCGGGUGAACACCAGCGGCGAAGGCGACUCUUUGGCCUGUAACUGACGCUGAGGCGCGAAAGCGUGGGGAGCAAACAGG
rnacentral:rRNA from 1 species